rnacentral:rRNA from 1 species
UACAGAGGUCCCGAGCGUUGUUCGGAUUCAUUGGGCGUAAAGGGUGCGUAGGCGGUCUGCUAAGUUUGAUGUGAAAUCCCGGGGCUCAACCCUGGAAUGGCAUUGAAUACUGGCGGACUAGAGUACCGGAGAGGAAACUGGAAUUUACGGUGUAGCAGCGAAAUGCGUAGAGAUCGUAAGGAAGACCAGUGGCGAAGGCGAGUUUCUGGACGGUAACUGACGCCUGAGGCACGAAGGCCAGGGGAGCAAACGGG